rnacentral:lncRNA from 1 species
UCUGUUAGUGAUGUAGAAACAUGUCAUCAUAGCUGCUGAUCAACAGGAGGUGCCAAGAAGAAAAGGAGCAAUCUACCAUCUGCUAGGCCAUCUGUUUCAUAAGACCUAUUCCUUAUUUAGAGCCAUUGGGGUUUUCAUUUAUUUUAAAAAAUGAUCAGCAUCAUCAAAGACCCCAGAUGAAUAAACUGAAGACUGGAAAUAUUGAGCAGCACAAGAUGUUAUAGCCACAUUCCUUUUUAAAAUUGUGUAAUCAACCGGGUGCAGUGGCU